GACGAACGCUGGCGGCGUGCUUAACACAUGCGAGUCGAACGGAAAGGCCCUGCUUUUGUGGGGUGCUCGAGUGGCGAACGGGUGAGUAACACGUGAGUAACCUGCCCUUGACUUUGGGAUAACUUCAGGAAACUGGGGCUAAUACCGGAUAGGAGCUCCUGCUGCAUGGUGGGGGUUGGAAAGUUUCGGCGGUUGGGGAUGGACUCGCGGCUUAUCAGCUUGUUGGUGGGGUAGUGGCUUACCAAGGCUUUGACGGGUAGCCGGCCAGAGAGGGUGACCGGCCACAUUGGGACUGAGAUACGGCCCAGACUCCUACGGGAGGCAGCAGUGGGGAAUAUUGCACAAUGGGCGGAAGCCUGAUGCAGCAACGCCGCGUGCGGGAUGACGGCCUUCGGGUUGUAAACCGCUUUCGCCUGUGACGAAGCGUGAGUGACGGUAAUGGGUAAAGAAGCACCGGCUAACUACGUG
rnacentral:rRNA from 1 species